GAACGGGUGAGUAAUACAUCGGAACGUGUCCUGGAGUGGGGGAUAGCCCGGCGAAAGCCGGAUUAAUACCGCAUACGCUCUGAGGAGGAAAGCGGGGGAUCUUCGGACCUCGCGCUCAAGGGGCGGCCGAUGGCGGAUUAGGUAGUUGGUGGGGUAAAGGCCUACCAAGCCGACGAUCCGUAGCUGGUCUGAGAGGACGACCAGCCACACUGGGACUGAGACACGGCCCAGACUCCUACGGGAGGCAGCAGUGGGGAAUUUUGGACAAUGGGGGCAACCCUGAUCCAGCAAUGCCGCGUGUGUGAAGAAGGCCUUCGGGUUGUAAAGCACUUUUGUCCGGAAAGAAAGCAUCCUCACUAAUACUGGGGGUGGAUGACGGUACCGGAAGAAUAAGCACCGGCUAACUACGUGCCAGCAGCCGCGGUAAUACGUAGGGUGCAAGCGUUAAUCGGAAUUACUGGGCGUAAAGCGUGCGCAGGCGGUUUUGUAAGACCGAUGUGAAAUC
rnacentral:rRNA from 1 species